rnacentral:rRNA from 1 species
CGGACGGGUGAGUAAUACAUAGGAAUCUGCCCUGUAGUGGGGGACAACUUAGGGAAACUUAAGCUAAUACCGCAUAAUCUCUACGGAGGAAAGGGGGCUUCGGCUCUCGCUAUUGGAUGAGCCUAUGUCUGAUUAGCUUGUUGGUGGGGUAAAGGCCUACCAAGGCGACGAUCAGUAGCUGGUCUGAGAGGAUGAUCAGCCACACUGGGACUGAGACACGGCCCAG